rnacentral:rRNA from 1 species
AGCUUAACCUUCGGGAGGGCGCUUACCACUUUGUGAUUCAUGACUGGGGUGAAGUCGUAACAAGGUAACCGUAGGGGAACCUGCGGUUGGAUCACCUCCUUACCUGAAGAUACC